GCUGAAAGACCGGCUCGCGCACGAUCACUGAAGUUAAGCAACGUUGAGCCUGGUCAGUACCUAGAUGGGUGACCGCUUGAAAAUACCAAGUGCUGUAAG